GUUGCUUGCUGCCCUGGACCCAGCCAGGCUGCUGGAAAUGUCUACAGAAAGAGAAGGCAGCAGCAAAGAGAUGACAGCUAUGGUUUCAGCCAGGGGUCAUGAAGAUGUGCAUAAGCUUCUGGCUUCUGGUGGCUGUCUGGUCCUAAUGGCACCAAGCCUCUCUUCUGGGCAGGCCUUGAAGUGCCCCUGUUAAGGCAUCUCCAUCCCCAGAGGGGACCCGCUGCCCGCCCUGCAUCUAUCUCCAACACGGAACGAUGUGGCGAUGCCCAGCCAGCCACCUCUGCUGCUCUUCUUUUGUUUUGGAUGCUGCAGUCUCCUUAGGAGGAUGAUGGAGUUGUUUGAGCGUAUCAAGUUCUAAAUAACAAACCUCACUAUCUGUUUCAGUCUCA